rnacentral:lncRNA from 1 species
AUGUUAAGGAACGCUGAUAAGUUUACGACGUCCCCACCAUCAAAAAGCCCUGCGUGCUGGUACCAAAGAGCAGUGCUGAAACAAGCCCUCCAAUUUCCAAUGCGUGGAAGUUCUUGCUGCCCCGACUUUUCAGCUUCUGACCUAGCCCUGGAAAUCAGGUAUCAUACGAGACCAGACCUAGAGAGUGUCUGCUCCCUUGACGGGAUCUGAGAACCCCUGGUUUUAUGUAAUAUGUCUCUUCAAAUCUAGAUUGUUAAGUGGCAUAGGCUUGGGGGCGGGGAUAGGGGCGGAAGGGAAUUGGUCUCAACAUAAUUUUUUAUUCCAAUAUAAAACUUCUUGCUUUUACUAUUUAAAAUUUUUCUUUGCCAGUGGCUGACUAGCUUGAAGUCUUUGAAACACUGAGCUUUCUAUAAAAUCCAAAUAAUUCUCUGUAAAUCAAAGUACUUGGCAUGCUUGCUGCAAAGCCUGAAGGUUUUUUUUUCCUUUUUUUUUUUUUUUUUUAAGGUAAUCUCUAGAAAGUAGUUUGUACUCAUGUUUUCACAGUGAUUAAAUAUGCAAAGUAAUUUUCAUGAUUAUCACCCCGUUCUGAACCAAAUCAGAUGCGGCUAUGCUUCUCUUUGUACAAAGCCAGUUAUUGGAUCAGAUUCCAAAACAAAUCCCCUGAAUUUGGCGGAUCAUCAUUUU